CUGCGCGUGCAAUCUAAUGUGCCACCAGAUAGGAGUGGUGUGUUUAGUACUAUUGUUAUCAGUUUAAUCACUGUUACGUCCCCUAUCCGUUGAUGUGGAGCAAGACGCAGCAGCAGAGAGGACUCAGCCGAGGAGGUUAUGGAAGAGGAUGGAGUAGGAGGAGUAGAGGAGGUGGCAGCGUACUGGCAGAGUACACGCUGUAGGGCUGACACACCCGCUUUGAGACAACUAAC